rnacentral:rRNA from 1 species
AUUGAACGCUAGCGGGAUGCCUUACACAUGCAAGUCGAACGGAGUGGCGAACGGGUGAGUAAUGUAUCGGAACGUGCCCAGUAGCGGGGGAUAACUACGCGAAAGCGUAGCUAAUACCGCAUACUAUUUGCUCUGCCGAUAUCGGAUUUGCGAGUUGGUGGGGUAACGGCUCACCAAGGCGACGAUCCGUAGCUGGUUUGAGAGGCCGACCAGCCACACUGGAACUGAGACACGGCCCAGACUCCUACGGGAGGCAGCAGUGGGGAAUUUUGGACAAUGGGGGAAACCCUGACCCAGCCAUGCCGCGUGUGCGAUGAAGGCCUUCGGGUGGUAAAGCACUUUUAGCAGGAAAGCGGUACCUGCAGAAUAAGCACCGGCUAACUACGUGCCAGCAGCCGCGGUAAUUC